rnacentral:rRNA from 1 species
CGAUGAUCCUCCAUGCUUGCUCGCGGGGGAUUAGUGGCGAACGGGUGAGUAACACGUGAGUAACCUGCCCUUGACUCUGGGAUAAGCCUGGGAAACUGGGUCUAAUACCGGAUAUGACCUUCCAUCGCAUGGUGGUUGGUGGAAAGCUUUUGUGGUUUUGGAUGGACUCGCGGCCUAUCAGCUUGUUGGUGGGGUAAUGGCCUACCAAGGCGACGACGGGUAGCCGGCCUGAGAGGGUGACCGGCCACACUGGGACUGAGACACGGCCCAGACUCCUACGGGAGGCAGCAGUGGGGAAUAUUGCACAAUGGGCGCAAGCCUGAUGCAGCGACGCCGCGUGAGGGAUGACGGCCUUCGGGUUGUAAACCUCUUUCAGUAGGGAAGAAGCGAAAGUGACGGUACCUGCAGAAGAAGCGCCGGCUAACUACGUGCCAGCAGCCGCGGUAAUACGUAGGGCGCAAGCGUUAUCCGGAAUUAUUGGGCGUAAAGAGCUCGUAGGCGGUUUGUCGCGUCUGCCGUGAAAGUCCGGGGCUCAACUCCGGAUCUGCGGUGGGUACGGGCAGACUAGAGUGAUGUAGGGGAGACUGGAAUUCCUGGUGUAGCGGUGAAAUGCGCAGAUAUCAGGAGGAACACCGAUGGCGAAGGCAGGUCUCUGGGCAUUAACUGACGCUGAGGAGCGAAAGCAUGGGGAGCGAACAGGAUUAGAUACCCUGGUAGUCCAUGCCGUAAACGUUGGGCACUAGGUGUGGGGGACAUUCCACGUUUUCCGCGCCGUAGCUAACGCAUUAAGUGCCCCGCCUGGGGAGUAC